CCCUUCUUUUAAAAAGCACCAUGCUAAAAUCACCAGCUCAAGGCCUUCGGGUCUCGCUCUGGUGUUCAUGCUAGUACUGGUUAAUCACAAAGAAGGUAGAGCAAAAGCACACGGUCGGAAAUGAGUCUAGGAAGGACCUCUUUCUUAAUGUCCGGUGUCCAAGGUCUCGAGAUUUUGUGCCAUACAC